UCACCUUGGAGUCAGGGCAAGCAAUUUCACGGGUGGAGAGUUAGGGCCAUCGCGGAGGCGCGGAGACGACGGCAGCGGGGGCUUCUGUUUCCUUGCUCAGAUGAUGCACGGGUAGCAAGGAUGAGAUGUUCUUUGACUCGCGGGCAUGGUUAGAUUCUUUUGCGGGGAAGCCCAGACUGGGCUUUACCAAUUUCAUUAAGGAGGAGGCAUGGUUAGAUUCUGACUGCGAGGAUGACUUCUACAGUGUGAAUGGAGGAAAUGCAACAUCUGGACAUGCCAAUAUCCUUUGCGCCAAUUCUCUAGAGAAAUCGGUCUGCAGUAGCAAGAGAUACAAGAGAGGUGGGACUUCACUCCCCUGGCUAUAUGUGAUCCCCAUGCUUGUUCUAUGGGAGUGAACUAUGGAUGCAGUGGUGGCAGUAGGAUAAGUAGCAAUAUGUAUGUAAUUUUUGGGAGUAACCUGCAAGUGCAGCAGUCGUUGGCAACUGGUAGUGCAGUGGAGCAAGUCUUAUAUUCAUGUUUAGGGCAGUUGUAUACUUGUAUUAUUCCUUGAUAGAAAAUCAUAGCUUUCUAUCAUUUGUAACGUAUGUAGACUUUGGAAAAAAGAGACAGAAUAAACACAUAAUGCACCAAGAGAACGUCAGGUUGGUAUGAUAAGUUGAACCUUCUUCUGAGGGUAUAUUGCUGUUGUAUUGCUUAUUCUUCUUGUUUAGGGGCAAAGAGCAGUAAAAUUUUGUA